rnacentral:rRNA from 1 species
UACGUAGGGUGCAAGCGUUGUCCGGAAUUAUUGGGCGUAAAGAGCUCGUAGGCGGUUUGUCACGUCGGCUGUGAAAACCCGGGGCUCAACCCCGGGCCUGCAGUCGAUACGGGCAAACUAGAGUUCGGCAGGGGAGACUGGAAUUCCUGGUGUAGCGGUGAAAUGCGCAGAUAUCAGGAGGAACACCGGUGGCGAAGGCGGGUCUCUGGGCCGAUACUGACGCUGAGGAGCGAAAGCGUGGGGAGCAAACAGG